rnacentral:rRNA from 1 species
UACGGAGGGUGCAAGCAUUAAUCGGAUUUAUUGGGCGUAAAGGGCGCGUAGGCGGGUGAGAAAGUCAGAUGUGAAAUUCCGGAACUCAAUUUCGGAGCUGCAUUUGAAACUGUUUACCUAGAGGAAUGGCGGAGAAAAUGGAAUUCCACGUGUAGCGGUGAAAUGCGUAGAUAUGUGGAAGAACACCAGUGGCGAAAGCGGUUUUCUAGCUUUUACCUGACGCUGAGGCGCGAGAGCAAGGGGAGCAAACAGG